AAUACGUUCCCGGGUCUUGUACACACCGCCCGUCAAACCAUGGAAGCCGGGGGUACCUGAAGAUGGUGACUUUACUGGGAGCUAUCUAAGGUAAAACUGGUGACUGGGGCU
rnacentral:rRNA from 1 species